rnacentral:rRNA from 1 species
GACAGAGGUCCCAAGCGUUAGGCGGAAUCACUGGGCUUAAAGCGUGUGUAGGCGGAUGUCUAAGUACCUUGUGAAAUCCCACGGCUCAACCGUGGAACUGCUUGGUAUACUGGAUGUCUUGAGCCAUCGUAGGGGCUACUGGAACAAAUGGUGGAGCGGUGAAAUGCGUAGAUAUCAUUUGGAACGCCAAUGGUGAAAAACAAGUAGCUGGGGGAUGUGCUGACGCUGAGACACGAAAGCCAGGGGAGCAAAACGGGG